rnacentral:rRNA from 1 species
AGGACGAACGCUGGCGGCGUGCUUAACACAUGCAAGUCGAGCGGAAAGGCCCUUCGGGGUACUCGAGCGGCGAACGGGUGAGUAACACGUGAGUAAUCUGCCCCUAGCUCUGGGAUAGCUCCGGGAAACCGGGAUUAAUACCGGAUACGACCACCUUAGACAUCUUUUGUGGUGGAAAGAAUUUCGGCUAGGGAUGAGCUCGCGGCCUAUCAGCUUGUUGGUGGGGUAACGGCCUACCAAGGCGACGACGGGUAGCCGGCCUGAGAGGGCGACCGGCCACACUGGGACUGAGACACGGCCCAGACUCCUACGGGAGGCAGCAGUGGGAAUAUUGCGCAAUGGGCGAAAGCCUGACGCAGCGACGCCGCGUGGGGGAUGAAGGCCUUCGGGUUGUAAACCCCUUUCAGCAGGGACGAAGCGAAAGUGACGGUACCUGCAGAAGAAGCGCCGGCUAACUACGUGCCAGCAGCGC